AAAUCGGAUCGUUGCGCCGCGGCAGGCGG
rnacentral:sRNA from 1 species